rnacentral:rRNA from 1 species
GACGAACCGUGCGAACGUUGUUCGGAAUCACUGGGCUUAAAGGGCGCGUAGGCGGGCUCACAAGUCAGGGGUGAAAUCCCACGGCUCAACCGUGGAAGUGCCUUUGAUACUGUGGGUCUUGAGGGAGGUAGGGGCGUGCGGAACUUCCGGUGGAGCGGUGAAAUGCGUAGAUAUCGGGAGGAACACCUGUGGCGAAAGCGGCUCACUGGACCAUAACUGACGCUGAUGCACGAAAGCUGGGGGAGCAAACAGG